GCCAUCGGGCGUCCAGCACCGAAAAGGGCGGUCUGGACACGCGAGGGAAUCCGGGAGCAGGAAGUUGGCUGACCGAUCAGGAUUUCUAGCUUCUCUGAAGCUCUUGGACGUUCUGGCAGGCAGGGCCCUCCUUCCUCAGUGCGGCCCUCCACAAAAAGGCACCUAGAAAGUCUGGAACCUCCCUGGCUGCACAGGAGCACACAAGUGUCCAGGGAGAAGGGAGAUGAACCCCGAGGGGAGCACGACGGCCUGGCUGCAGCGGCCCACGUGCGUUUGCCACCACAGGGGCCAAGAGCGGCUUCUAGUGACCCCGCGAGGUCAGAAGACGGGACGCCAAGCCAGGCCAGGGUAGAGCCGGCAGGGGGGCCGCCGCAGGAGGCUGGGCCCCCAAAGGCUGGUGUCGCGAGAGGGGCCGGACCGGACAGAGAAUCCCCCGCAGCAAAACAACCCUGUGGGUGCUCUACAGCCUGUCACCCCCAGCUGGGAGUUUAGUCACACACAGAGCUACGCAGAGGGUUGGGUUUUCAUUUGCUGUGUGGCUCAGCAAAUGAGUGGUUCUGGGGUCCCCACAGCAGUAGUGAAGUCUCUUCUAGAAGAACAUAGCUCUCAAACCAGACUGCACAGGACUCCCACGGCUGAAACCACAUGACACGAACGCCACGGUUACGGGACAGGAGAGGAGACAGUCUCCGCCAGCAAGAUGCCGCAAAGCAACAAACUCAACCAUGCUCGGAAAAUGGAAUUAGAGAAACCAUGCUCGGAAAAUGGAAUUGGUGGCAUCUGGGAGGCGGCGGGCUGCUCCAGGAUGAACUUUCCCGACUACCGGCUGCCAGAAAUGGGGAACUCAGACUCCAUACCUUUUAUGAGGAGCCUGUGGCCACAGAAGUUGCUGCCGAUGCUCUGGGUGAAGCGUGGAAGGGUUACGUUGUCCGAACCAGCAGUUAUGCUGGUUACGCUUUCUCUCUCUCUCUCUCUCUCUCUCUCAAAUAAAAAACAAUUUUUUUAAUGAGA